UUAGUAGUAAUUCGGUUCGUUGCUCCGCCUAGGUUAGAAAUGAAUCGUGUUUUGUCAUGGUUCCGUCCCUGCCUCCGCCGUCCUACCGCCCUGACCGCCGCCGUCACAACCUAGGCACCGCCUGUGGUUCCGUCCCCGCCUCUGCCCGCCGCCCCGGCCUCCGCAAAUUCAUGUUAUUGCUAGAAAUUCAUAAAAAUUCAUGUUAUUGCUAGAAAUUCGUAAAAAUUCAUGUUAUUGCUAGAAAUUCGUACAAAUUCAUGUUAUUGCUAGAAAUUUGAAAAAAUUCAUGUUAUUGCUAAAAACUCGUACAAAAUUCAUGUUAUUGCUAGAAAUUCGUAAAAAUUCAUGUUAUUGCUAGAAAUUCGUAAAAAUUCAUGUUAUUGCUAGAAAUUCGUAAAAAUUCAUGUUAU
rnacentral:lncRNA from 1 species